rnacentral:rRNA from 1 species
UACGGAGGGUGCAAGCGUUUAUCCGGAUUCACUGGGUUUAAAGGGUGCGUAGGUGGGCAAGUAAGUCAGUGGUGAAAUCUCCGGGCUUAACCCGGAAACUGCCAUUGAUACUAUUUGUCUUGAAUACUGUGGAGGUCAGCGGAAUAUGUCAUGUAGCGGUGAAAUGCUUAGAUAUGACAUAGAACACCAAUUGCGAAGGCAGCUGGCUACACAAAUAUUGACACUGAGGCACGAAAGCGUGGGGAUCAAACAGGA